rnacentral:rRNA from 1 species
CAAGCGUGGAUUAUGUGUUUAAUUCGACGCAACGCGAAGAACCUUACCAGGCCUUGACAUACUCGGCAAAGCUCUAGAGAUAGAGUGGAGGUUAUCCGGGAUACAGGUGGUGCAUGGUUGUCGUCAGCUCGUGUCGUGAGAUGUUGGGUUAAGUCCCGCAACGAGCGCAACCCUUGUCUUUAGUUACCAUCAUUCAGUUGGGGACUCUAGAGAGACUGCCGGUGAUAAACCGGAGGAAGUGGGGAUGACGUCAAAUCAUCAUGCCCCUUAUGGCCUGGGCUACAAACGUAAUACAAUGACGUAUACAAAGGGAUGCGAAAGGGCGACCUGGAGCAAAACUCACAAAGUACGUCUCAGUUCAGAUUGGAGUCUGCAACUCGACUCCAUGAAGGCGGAAUCGCUAGUAAUCGCGGAUCAGCAUGCCGCGGUGAAUACGUUCUCGGGGUUU